GGGUUCGACCACCAGAGGGCGAUACCACGGCAGGAGCACCUUGAAGUCACCCGUGUCCCCCCUGCCUUUGAUAUUUCUUUUCCGGCGAACGACGGAGUUUGCGCGGAACUGUCGACGGGCGGGGGGGGGGGGGGGAGACGCGGCCCACGGAGGUGUUUGCUUGUCUACGAAAUUGAAGCGAAGUUGCUCUUUUUUUCCCCCCAUUGCGUCUUCCUUCAGCUCCUAAUUUAACGCGGGUUUCCUUGUAACGCUUCAGCGCGUCCCCCUGACGCCGGCAGACUCGGGAGUAGUUCAUCUUUUUUUUUGUUUGUUUACCUUCGACGCGCUCUUGCAAAAUCGUCGGACGAAACGAAAAGCUCGCGAAAGCGGGCGGCGAAUCUUGUUCGUUUCCCUCCCCCACCCCCUCCCACCCUUUUUCCCGUGACGAUCGUAACGUGGCCCCGUCGCUUGGCUCGUGAACGUGUCGCCCAGGUGCCAGCCAAUCGCGGCCGCGCCCGUACGAUCACGUGACUUGGUUAUUACUUGCUGUACGUUUGUUUUCAUAAUUUUUUUUCUGGCGACCAUCUUGCGGGGACUGCGCUGUGAUCGUCGCCACGGCAACGGUUCCACGGUGGGAGAGGAGUGGGGGGGGGGGCGAAUAAAAAAAAUGGAGACAAAAAACCGCGGGGGGGGGGGGGAGGGUGGCUCGCCAAGUCGUGUAGACUUUCACGCUUCAAGAAAAAAGAAUGCACAGAUUCCGUGUUCCUCACGCCUGCCCGCCCACCUACAUAUGUCCGUACGUACGUUGAACUUCUUUUGCACCGUACCUUAGCCAACCGUGGCCAAUCGGAGGUGCGGGGGAAGGACGACAAACUGAACACAACAAACAAGCAGUUCAAAAGAAAUGAGUUUUCAAUCGAGAAGAUGCUCCGGCGGCUUCCUAAUAUCAGAAGGAAACAGCAUUCCAGACGGCCGCAGAAGCGCAUCUGAAAGCGCGCGACGGCGGUGUGACCGUCCGUUGUUUCGAUGGCGAGCCAAAAGCCGCCGCUGCGCGGGUGACCGACGUUCGCGUGAUGAUGGUUUAUGCCCCUUGACGAGAUCGGCAAGGGUGUUGUUAUAUUGUGGUUCAUUUGUGACGAGCACUUUGUGUGUGUGUGUGUGUAAUGGCGAGCGCGAUCUCGCGCGGCUUUUCGCGUCCACCGAACUCGGAAUUGACCUGGCGCGACCGUAAACCUUGAAAGACGCCCGCGUCGCGUGGGAAACCUUUUUUAAAAUUGGCGAAGAAGAAAAAAAAAACGAGGAAAAUCCUCGCCGGAAAAUGGACGAGGCUGGGUUUGGGUUGACGGUGGAUGUUGUUCGGCAUUUUGAAAACCGGCACCGGUUUUUUGGGGUCUUUUUUAGAAAGGGAGGGGGGGGGGGGAGGCGGUGGGGUGGGGGUUCCCAUUAAUGUCGCUUUCUCGCCCGUGCGCGUCGUCGAGGAGAAUGGAAGGUUCACGCUUUUCCCCCGUUUACGAACCGGGGCGAUAUUUCGUAAGUUGAGGGGGGGGGGGGGGGCCCUACCGCCAUCCCCCCCCCCCCCCCCCCAGGGAAAAGCGGACAAACUUUUGUGAAGCCCCCCCCCCCCCCUACCCCCGCGUAUGGUUUCAUUUCGUCUAUCGUUUUGCACGUUUUUUUAGUACAUUAAGCCAUUCCCAAAGCAAAAAAAUAUAUAUAACCUUAAAAGGAAAACAAAACUAUCUGGGAAGUACUGUUAGGAACGGACGAAACAAAAGCGGCGAUGAAGUUCCCACGGAAGGAGGGGGAGAUCGUUUUCACUGCCAAGCGCCCUCGGUUUGGUCGAAGUCCCGGGAUAACUCUCUGCCGUUUCCACCUCCGUCGAUGUCCGUCCCGUGGACGCGCGGCCACCGCGUCGAACCGUCGAUUGCCGACCGAGGGCAACCCGUGGCCUCCAGCCGUGGUCGCGGGCGACGGAACGGACAGAUUGGGGCGGUCGCGGCGGCCCCUGUUCGUCGAGAAUCAGAAUGUUUUUGUAGGCCGGAGGAAUCCGAUGAGAUGUGAAGCAUUUUAUCACAUGCGUCCAGUCGGAUAAGAACGUCACAACAGCAAGACGCAGUACGAAGACACGAUAGGAGCGCAAAGUCUAGGAAAGGUGAACAAAUCUAUCAAGCACAUACAAAUAGGAGUAAACCAUCCCCGUCCUACCAGACAGAAACCACCGAGGUGUAUUCACUUACCGUUCGAAAGCGACCCAGCCACAAAUGACACUCACACACCCACUCACUCACUCAUCCACCCACUCACACACUCACCCACACACUCAUCCACCCACUCACUCAUUCACUCAUCCACCCACUCACACACUUACCCACACAUCCAUCCACUCACCCACUCACACACCACCCACUCAUACACUCACCCACACACUCAUCCACCCACUCACCCACUCACACACCCACUCACUCACCCAGUCGCUCACCCACCCACUCACCUCUCUCUCGUCAUUUGGUUGGCGUGGGGGUUGCAGGUCAGCAGAGUUCGUUGCGUCUCGCGACGUGCGACGAAAAUGACAACCUCCCCCAAAUCAAUGAAGAGCACUGCAACGCUGCGGCUUUAGAGCGCGAUCCGCUCGCUACUCGGAAGGUCACAAGUUCAAAUCCUGGUCGUCGGGGGUCGAUGCAGCCCCAACCCGUCCAUCCCUCCGCCGUCUAAAACGAGUGGGAAGCCAGCAGUCGUGUUACGGACAGACUGGGCCCCCCCGCGCGCCAUGGUGACGUGGAAUUGGCACCACCAUCUCAGAGUCGCCGGCAUGCACGUACGACCGCGCGCACCCGUUGCUGCUUUGGCCGCCGAGUUCCACCGCGGAACGUGUGCGAAAUCGGCGCGGAGCUUCUGGCUCAUGAUUUUGGGCUUGAUGUGGAUGUCGUCGUCGUCAUCAAGCCGGUCGAUUAAUUACGAAAGUAUGUGAGGCCCAUUUUUUUUUACGUGGUCACGGCGGGUCGCUGCAUCGCCCCGAUUGCGAUGGCGUUUUUUUUUUUAAAGCCUUUGCGAUAAACAAAGCCGAUUUUACAGGGGGCCAUGCGUACAAAACAAUUCAAAUGUUGAGGUGUGUUAACUCGAUCGGCGACGGCCAGGAGUGCAUCGUAAACCUUGUGAAGAUGCGUCCGUGCUCAAGCGGCUCUUGUGCGCGCCGUUUAAGAAGAGAAAUAUUGUAUAUUCUCUCUGCAGUCUGGCCCAGCGUCGUAUUGAAGAGGUUUCGAGUUGUUUUUUUUUUGGGGCGGGGGGGCGGAGGGCAAAGUGGAAGGGUGAGAAUGUCAAUUGUGUUUUGUUAUUUUUGUAAUUGCCCAUCGCGUGUCUUUCCCCUUGUUGAUUUUGUCAUAACCGAGAACAUUUCACGGACGACGUGUGCCCGUCGUACGACUGUGGGGGAGGCAUUGAUCACGUGGCCAGCUGCCACCUACUUGAUGUUUCUUUUGUACAGAGAGAUAGUGUCCGAUAUUUUGGUAGAACUGAAACAAACAAAAAAACAGCCACCAUCGCACGCGUCUGAAAUGUGUAGCCGAACGUUUCACGUCAAACCCGCCGUUCGCCACUAGGGGGCGGCGACCACCCCACGGCGCUUGCGCCAGGCUAGGUGCAUAUUGCGGCUGCCCGUCGCAUGAAGUGUCAAAGGUUCGCUGAUAGGAGGUCAUGGGACUGACCCGGGUGCCAUGGGUUGACUCCUGUGCCAGGCUAGGUGCAGGAGGAGGUCAUGGGACUGACCCGGGUGCCAUGGGUUGACUGCUGUGCCAGGCUAAGUGCAGGAGGAGAUCAUAGGACAGACCCAGGUGGUACCAUGGGUUGACUGCUGUGCCAAGCUAGGUGCAGGAGGAGGUCACGGGACUUCCCCGGGUGCCAUGGGUUGACUCCUGUGCCAGGCUAGGUGCAGGAGGAGGUCAUAGCACAGACCCUGGUGCCAUGGGUUGACUCCUGUGCCAGGCUAGGUGCAGGAGGAGGUCAUAGUACAGACCCUGGUGCCAUGGGUUGACUCCUGUGCCAGGCUAGGUGCAGGAGGAGGUCAUGGGACAGACCCGGGUGGUGCCAUGGGUUGACUGCUGUGCCAGGCUAGGUGCAGGAGGAGGUCACGGGACUGACCCGGGUGCCAUGGGUUGACAGCUGUGCCAGGCUAGGUGCAGGAGGAGGUCAUGGGACAGACCCGGGUGGUGCCAUGGGUUGACUGCUGUGCCAGGUUAGGUGCAGGAGAAGGUCACGGGACUGCCCCGGGUGCCAUGGGUUGACUCCUGUGCCAGGCUAGGUGCAGGAGGAGGUCACGGGACUGCCCCGGGUGCCAUGGGUUGACUCCUGUGCCAGGCUAGGUGCAGGAGGAGGCCACGGGACAGACCCGGGUGAUGGCAUGGGUUGACUUGACUGAGAUGAAUGGCAGAUGCACCACCUGCACUCCAUAUUGAGCCAAUAUUACACAGCACACACACACAUAUCUAUAUGGAAUAUACUUAUAAUACAAUAUAUUACCAUUUUGACCUCAUUUAACAAAACUAAACUUUUUUAACUAUUGUGCAUUUUUUGGGGGGUUUUCAAAAGUGGACUGCUUUUGUAAAUGAUUUUAAUCUUACAGCUUCGAAUAAUUUAAACAAAAACACUACGUAAUUCUUUAUUUGCGUGCGUGCGUUCGUUCAAUGCAUUGGUACGGUACAUUUUUGUUUAGUUGCUAUUGGGUUUUUGAAACCGCCAGAGCAUAAAUUUGUUUUUUUUAUUAAAAAAAAUGUGGUAAGGCGCGAUCUGUAAACAGAGUUAUGAAGGUUUAAAAGACGCCAGUGACGUGCGAACUGUGAUUGGCUGCUACUUGACUGCUCUCUCUGGACUGCGGGUAAUGAAUGAUGAAGGCGCAAUCCCUGAAAUAUCUUUGCACAAUCCACUGCUGGUUGAGGGGGGGGGGCCCUCCGCUCGAGAAAUCUUCGGAGAGCCCGGCUCGAGGUGUCAUACGUGGGUUCGAUGUUUCGGAUGCGGCGCCAGUACCCGCACUUAACCCGACCGCACGCGAACCGCCGAUCGAUUGUGGGCAUCGGCGGUUGACAUUUCUCUCGGAGCGUAGUUUCGACUGCCGUGCCGGGAGAUCGAAUCGAGCCCGCGACCUUCCGCGUCAUCGCAAGCGCCGUGGUGCCGCUGACCGCAACGAAUUUACAACCACGGCAGGGUAGUGGACCGGAAAGUUACCGAAAUAAUAAACCUCAUUCGAUACAGUCGUCGCGAACACAUCCCCAUCCACGACCCGUUCAGGCGCUGAUGUUAGCCGUAGCCGGUCGUGCACAAGUAUAACCCGUAAAAACAAAGUUUUUCACUAUAAAUCCUUUAUAUGCGUGGCGGCUAGAGUCCUCUGGCUUGAGAUGGCUGCCACCUAUGGGUCAGAUGAUUGAAUUGCACCAUUAAGCAAUUGGUAAUUAAAUAUAAUAUUUUUGUCCUAAAAAGUGUACAAUUUUGGAAAAAAAAUUUUCACGAACAUUAAUUGUCACGCACAACGAGUCUGUGUGGAAAAUGUCAGCUCCAUUGGAUCACGGGAAGUGGGUUAAAAAACGACUGAAAGAUUUGCACGGUCGUAAGCAAGCAAGCGAACUUAAUAUAAAUGAUUUUAAAAAAAAACACUCAAAUAUUUCGCGGUGGUGUACGGGUUGACGUCCGUUGAACUUCUUUCGCACCGUAUGUAGCCGACCGUGGAUAUCGAAGGUUGUGGUUCAUAGCCGGGGUUGUCUCAAAGAAGGGGCAGGGGGGUGGCAAGAGCGGAGGGAGCCGCCGCGUGUGUGGUAUUCGCACGCGGAUACACCGAUUCACCGAUCCGGCGAACGUUGGAACGGGGGGCGGUGUGGGGUGAUGGGGGAUGCAUUGGUGCGUUUUGUCAAAAUGCGUUUGCAAGUCAGUGGCGGCACUCGCGUGCACCGUUUUUAUUUUUUGCCCCCCCAGGUAACUCCGGGGAACACUCCAGCCCCCAACCGGCCGUUGUCAAUGCUCGGCUCCUCUGACCGUGUGCCGUUCCCACACACAACAACACAACACAUAACACAACACAUAACACAACAACACAACACACGACACAACACAACACAUAAAACAACAUUAUGGCUUGGCUUCGCGAACGAAGAUCUAGGAAGGACAUCCACGUCUUCUGCAGGCACGCUGGUGGCUGAAGAGGCCUAUGCGGGACAAGCAGGUCCUGCCACAACAGCUGCAAGUAUAGGUCUCAUGUGGGAUGGGUACACAUAACACAACAACACACGAACGCGCGGGUGGUGGUAACGUUUUUAUUUGACGGCCACCGCGAUCGGAGAGUCGAGUUUCUCCCACGUCGUAGCGGCGGCAGAUGAUGAUGAUGGCGGUGGGUGGUGGUGGUGGUGUUGCUGUUCACGUUCCCACCCCCCCCCCCCCCCCUGAGGUUGUGGCGCACUCAACGCUUUUUUGUGUUGUUAAAGUUUACCAAAACUGUCACAAGACCCCUGUGCGUGAACACACACACGUAUAAUAUAUAUAUACCGAAUGUAGUGUGUGUUCUCAAAAGCGUAUACGGUAUUUUUUUUUAAAGUUCGGUUCAACUUGCUUGUAACGUUUACCACUUUGCGUAUUUUACAAACGUACCACUUUAAAUAUGCCCUCCCCGCUCCCCCCAAAAAAACUAAUUGAAAACGAAUUCCCAGGUUUUUAAAUAUUUUUCUCCACCCACCAACCGCUUCUUACGGCGUUCAAUCUGGCCAGCCGCCCCCAAACAAACCCGCUCCAUCGGUGUGUCACUCUAGCCUUAGAUAAGUAAUAAUUAUAACCCGUAAAAAUAAAGUUUUUCACUAUAAAUCCUUUAUAUGCGUGGCGGCUAGAGUCCUCUCGUCCUCUGGCUUGAGAUGGCUUCCACCUAUGGGUCUGAUGAUUACCUGCCACCAUUAAGCAAUUGGUAAUUAAAUAUUUUUUAAAAAUUCCCCUAAACAGUGUAAAAUUUUGGAAAAAAUUUUUCACGAAAAUUAAUUGUCACGCACAACGAGUCUGUGUGCAAAAUGUCAGCUCGAUUGGAUCACGGGAAGUGGGUUAAAAAACGACCGAAAGAUUUGCACAGUCGCAAGCAAGCAAACACGCAAGCACGCAAGCAAGCAAGCGAACUUAAUAUAAAGGAUUUAAAAAACAACUCAACUGAAAUCCCUCCAUGUCUAGAUGUGGGCUUCACAUUUACAGGUGAGAACCAGCGGACGGGGAGUGCCGAACGCUCAUGGAGAGUUGAGCCCGUAAUACGCAAACGGGGAGUGGUCAAUAUCAUGGUCAAUAUCAUCUACCCCGAACCUGUGGUGUACAUUUUUUUUUCAACGUCCAUCGUUCUCAAUUUUGUACAUAUGUACAUUUGCGUAUGCAGUACGUGCUUACUACGUGGGGUUUUAAUGAGUCGUUUGUUUUUAUGGUGUGAAUCCUAAUUUCUUUUUUGUGUUAUAUAUUCUAUGUUUCAGAUUAUUUUCUCCCCGCUUUGUAUACAUGAAUUGUCGUCCUCUCCGCGUCUCUCGGUUUUGUUUUUUUCGUAACGAUUGUGUGCGUGUGCCACUCGGGGUGACCUCUGCCCUCCCCGUCCCCUUCGCCGGAAUGAAAGACAAAGGCGAGGGAGAGAAAUUAACCGCGUAUUCAUUCAUUUCAGCAGCGUUGCGUGAGCGUUAUUAUACAGGGUUAGUCACGUACGUUGACAAAGUCAAGAUACACCGACUGUUUUGGCAUCGGGUCGCUUUCACGAUAAUAAUUUAAGCCCUUAAUUUAAAGAAAUGUAUUAUAAUUGUUAUAACCGUGAUAAUUUAAAGAAGCUGUUUUUUUUCUGUAAAAAAAAAAUGAACCCCACUCACAUAAAGUGAGUUAGGACCUUUAGCAUUUUGAGAAAAACAGGUUUCUUACAUUGGCAUGUUUUUUUAAUAUAUCUCGUUUAAGUUCCCUUCUUCGUUCGGAGUUCUCUGGCAGCGUUGCAGCUUUUCAGUUUCCGCUUCUACCGCAGCUGUGCGUGCCGUUAAACUAAAACAAAAUGUUGCUAUCACAAAUGCAAGUCUAAUGAAGUGGCUUAUAUGGAAAUGUAUAGCAGCCAAAUACUCUAAACGCCACGUUGAUUCUACGUGUGGACGGAAAACCAGAGAAAAAUCCACCAUCAUGUGGAGAGAGACGCACAAACCCCAAAUAUGCAGCAGCAGGCGUCAGGGUCGGGAUCGAACCCACAACCUCCUGUACACCAGGCGAGAUAGUUUACAUCUUCUAGCCACCGUGAUGAUGAUGAGAGAGAGACACGCAAACUCCAAAUAUACAGCAGCAGGCGUCAGGGUCGGGAUCGAACCCACGACCUGUAUGCCAGGCGAGAUAGUUUACAUCUUCUAGCCACCGUGAUCAUGAUGAGAGAGAGACACGCAAACUCCAAAUAUACAGCAUUAGGCGUCAGGGUCGGGAUCGAACCCACGACCUCCUGUACACCAGGCGAGAUAGUUUACAUCUCCUAGCCACCGUGAUGAUGAUGAGAGAGACACGCAAACUCCAAAUAUACAACAGCAGGCGACAGGGUCGGGAACGAACCCACGACCUCCUGUACACCAGGCGAGGGAGUUAACAUCUCCUAGCCACCGUGAUGAUGAUGAGAGAGACACGCAAACUCCAAAUAUACAUCAGCAGGCGACAGGGUCGGGAACGAACCUACGACCUCCUGUACACCAGGCGAGAUAGUUAACAUCUUCUAGCCACCGUAUUCGGCGCGGCCAACCAGCCAACACAUUCCACCUUUCUCGUGCUGCUGGCAGCCUCUCCCGCAACAGAAUGAGUGAACGAACGAAACGAAAGCUUCCCGGCACGUGGAUCGCGAAUUCCGGGACAUCGGAGGCCGAAUACCGUGCACGACUGAGGGGGGGGGGGGGUCCCCCGAUUAGCAAAGGGAGCGAUGUGGAUGGGAAGAGCGACUUUGCCCGUGUGCGCAUGCGCGCGAGAGAGAGAUAUGUGUACGCAUGACGAGCACGUGGCAUUUGGGAUUAUUGUUGGCUGCGGUUUUUUUCGAGUUUUGUCUGCCCAUUCAUUCAUUUAUCCAUCCCCCUCUUUGGACAUUUCAUCGCAUAUGCCGGGUCUCGCCACGACGAAACGAACAAUAAGAUUGUGCCGUGGUUGGCGAGCGGUAUAAUAUUGCCAGCGCAGGGAAGUUCGAUUUACGUUCGUUGUUGUAUUUUUGUUUUACUGGGUGAGGAUAAAGCAAGGAGUCUCUUAUAAUUUGCAAGAGUGACCUUGUGCGGCAUUAGCCUGCCAGUAGAGUUGUGGUAGUGGUGGGGUGGGGGGUGGGAGCGCAAUUGCUACCACUGCUGCUCUGUAAACAUCCGAAUUGCCUUUUUUUCCCCUCCCAGAUAAAUUUUCGACUUUUAGGAACAAAAAAUUUGGACCGCUGCCGCCCGACACGCGGCGAGCGUUGGGUGGGGGGCAGGAGGGCCGCCUGCUCUUGCGAACGUCCGAGGGAUCUUUUUUUAACCGCUGCGGUUAUCUCUUAACCGUGGUAAUAACUAGGGUCGGCUGCUGGAUUCGAACCGUGAUCCUGCCCCCGAGAACCCCCUCCACCACCUGCAGGGAGCAAUGAUCGCGCUGCCCGCUGGGCUGUGUCGUAUGGGUGACUGCGUGUGGGGUGUUCUCAUGGUUGACUCUAAACAGACCGGUAAAGUCACGUAUAAAGAGAAAAUAACACAUUAAAUACUAGCAUACGACGUUUCGAUUGCAACACAAUCAAUCGUCAUCAGGUAUAAAUGAAAUAGAAACAAAUCUAGUAUACUUAGAAAUGUAUUGUAAUACAACAGAGAGUCGGAUAACAUAACAGUCAACACCCUACCUGGUUGAUUACGUUCUUCCUGAGAAUGCUAAAUUUGAGAGAGAGAUAAAACACAGAACCAGACACAUUUAGACAGACAUAUAAGUAGAGACAGAUAUCACAGAGAUACAUAGAGAGAGAGAACGUACAUCGGCACACAGAGAAACCACGCCUCUGUGUCGAGGCCUUAAGUAUACUAGAUUUGUGUUUCUAUUUAAUUUAUACCUGAUGAUCAUUGCUUGUGUUGCAAUCGAAACGUCGUAUGCUAGUAUUUCAUUGAUUAUUUUCUCUUUAUACGUGACUUUACCGAAAGAACCAAAGAGUAAUUCCUGCAGUCACGAAAGCUCCACAUUAAGUUCUAAACAGACCGUGUGUGGGGGAGCGGUGGUGCAGCGGUUAGCGCUACGCCGCGCUACGAACCUGGCGACCCGAGUUCGAUUCCCGCUCACGGCCAACACCGGUGACGAUUAUCUGAACCGGUCCUGGGCCUCCCCCUAGAUCAACUCGGGCAUCAGUCGAGCACCUGGUGCCGUGUGUAGUCAACAUCGCCACUUGGGGGGAGACAAAGGCGGCCGGGCGUGUUGCUGCCCCCCCCCCCCCCCAACCUUCCGUGUUGCCGUUCCGGCCUUCACGUCGCUUGCUCGCUUGAACAGCACUUGCCCCUAAUAGCCUGUUAAGGCUAUACGGGGUAGGGGAGGGAUCUUUGUCUUUAUUCGCUCAUUGAUUUUAUCCGGGAAGUCCUUUUCGUCGAGUCGGCAAUGGGUUACUGCGCCCCUACAAUCUCGUGAAUGUCUCCACCCUCCCCACCCCCCCCCCC